CAGUAGCCACGGUAAUACGGAGGGUGCAAGCGUUAAUCGGAAUUACUGGGCGUAAAGCGUGCGUAGGCGGUUCGUUAAGUCUGUUGUGAAAGCCCCGGGCUCAACCUGGGAAUGGCAAUGGAUACUGGCGAGCUAGAGUGUGUCAGAGGAUGGUGGAAUCCCCGGUGUAGCGGUGAAAUGCGUAGAGAUCGGAAAGAACACCAACGGCGAAAGCACUCUGCUGGGCCGACACUGACACUGAGAGACGAAAGCUAGGGGAGCAAAUGGGAUUAGAUACCCGUGUAGUCCCUGUCUCUUAUAC
rnacentral:rRNA from 1 species